CUUCAAGCAAGAGGGCUCUCCUUGUAAACCUCUCUCCCAUGUCUUGGUGGUUCAUUGUAUGGGUUAACCAUACUGCUAUUCGCACCCUAUUCAGGUCUUCCACAUCCUUGAAUAUGAUCAUGGGUGAAGGAUACCAGUGUUCCUUUUUGUUCUCCACAUAACAAGUUAUCCUUUGCUUAAUAACAGCAAUCUUUUCAGCUGGCGUAGCAAGGUGAAUGAGGAACUCAACAGCAUCUCCCAUG
rnacentral:misc_RNA from 1 species